CAAAAAGUAAUUUAACUAAGAAUACUGGUUUUGGGGACCAGCGGUGGAGGUUAGAAUCCUUUCUUUUUGA
rnacentral:tRNA from 1 species